rnacentral:rRNA from 1 species
AUUGAACGCUGGCGGCAUGCCUUACACAUGCAAGUCGAACGGCAGCACGGGUGCUUGCACCUGGUGGCGAGUGGCGAACGGGUGAGUAAUACAUCGGAACAUGUCCUGUAGUGGGGGAUAGCCCGGCGAAAGCCGGAUUAAUACCGCAUACGAUCUACGGAUGAAAGCGGGGGAUCUUCGGACCUCGCGCUAUAGGGUUGGCCGAUGGCUGAUUAGCUAGUUGGUGGGGUAAAGGCCUACCAAGGCGACGAUCAGUAGCUGGUCUGAGAGGACGACCAGCCACACUGGGACUGAGACACGGCCCAGACUCCUACGGGAGGCAGCAGUGGGGAAUUUUGGACAAUGGGCGAAAGCCUGAUCCAGCAAUGCCGCGUGUGUGAAGAAGGCCUUCGGGUUGUAAAGCACUUUUGUCCGGAAAGAAAUCCUUGGCUCUAAUACAGUCGGGGGAUGACGGUACCGGAAGAAUAAGCACCGGCUAACUACGUG